GUCUGGCAUAGCUCAGUCGGUAGAGCACGAGACUCUCAAUCUCAGGGCCGUCGGUCAUAGGCCUGGCCAAGGGGGGGGCAGGGGGACAGCUGUCCCCCUUAUCAAUCAGAAUCAAUACAAAUCUGAGGUUCUGCUCCCCCCCCCUUGCAAAGCCUGUCUACCAAAAAAACCUCUGGCUAAGCCCAUGUCGUGGCUUCGAGCCCCAUGUUGGGCA